CCUAUCUGAACAGAACCACACGCUGUCUGUGUGGUUUCACUGUUACAAGUUUCUUGGCGACAUGGGGGAAAGUUCCUCACAUACCAACGGAAAAUGGGCUUCACAUACAUGCUGCUGUCUCAUAAUAUGGCGAAGACGAGUCACUUGAAGGCCUAACAGCUCUUAUGAGGAGCAGUCUUGCCAUAGAAGACUGAAAGAAUGAGCUGUAGAAACAACAGGGUGCCUGCUGCAGUAUGACGAGGACGCCCUGAUCAUAGAAGGUCCAGUGUCUUGGCAGGGUGAAAUGGCACUGAUAUCGGUAUGUGGUGAUAUCAGUUAAAAUUAAUGAAUUAAUUCUCAUAUCUGAAUAAUGUGAACACUGGAUUUACCACACACUCACACACACCCUAGUCCUAGAUGAUACAACCAAGGUUACUUUUACCACAGCUCUGGCACUGCAUCAAAUUUCUUUUCUUUUUUAUAGAACUGGACAGGUCAUUUAUUCGUUCCCCUUGUUUUUUGCAGUGUCCUGCAGGAUGCUGUGUCCUGCAAUCCUGUGUGCUGUGCUACAGACGCGUGUGGAGGUCAACCCGAAAUGGGCACAGUAGAGUGAAAGAGGGUAAGCUUAACCUAUAGCCUACGUCAGGGUUGGGGAACCUUUCUCAUUCGAAUGGCCACUUCAAAUUCAUCCGAGGGGCCAUAGAAGUCCUCCAAGGGCCGUACU